GAUGAACGCUGGCGGCGUGCCUAAUACAUGCCAGUCGAGCGAACAGACGAGGAGCUUGCUCCUCUGACGUUAGCGGCGGACGGGUGAGUAACACGUGGAUAACCUACCUAUAAGACUGGGAUAACUUCGGGAAACCGGAGCUAAUACCGGAUAUUAUAUUGAACCGCAUGGUUCAAUAGUGAAAGACGGUUUUGCUGUCACUUAUAGAUGGAUCCGCGCCGCAUUAGCUAGUUGGUAAGGUAACGGCUUACCAAGGCGACGAUGCGUAGCCGACCUGAGAGGGUGAUCGGCCACACUGGAACUGAGACACGGUCCAGACUCCUACGGGAGGCAGCAGUAGGGAAUCUUCCGCAAUGGGCGAAAGCCUGACGGAGCAACGCCGCGUGAGUGAUGAAGGUCUUCGGAUCGUAAAACUCUGUUAUUAGGGAAGAACAAAUGUGUAAGUAACUAUGCACGUCUUGACGGUACCUAAUCAGAAAGCCACGGCUAACUACGUG
rnacentral:rRNA from 1 species